rnacentral:lncRNA from 1 species
UAACUCCCUCCCCCUAGUCCCUGUCCAGUAUUUCCUUCUGGGAGGUGGGUUGGGUGAGGCUUUUGUUUCAACUGCCUGCGGAAUGUUGCCUGAUGGAACAGAGUAGAGAGGGCCUGUCUUUAAAAGCCCAGAUAGAGGAGCUCUGGCCCAUAAGGGUGCUUCCUGCCUGCUCGCCUGCAGGCUCCUGUCCUUCCUGUUGGCACCAUGCUCUGCAGAGCUCCAGUCCUCUGUGCUCUGUGUGUCCUGGCUGGGGCUUUGCCCUUGCCUGACCUAGAAUUCAUCGCUUACCUACCUGAAUUGGUCAGCAUUAUAAAUGAGGUCAAACUUGAUAUAGACACAACCAGGGGUGAAGAUUCAACAGCUGGUGUAUCACAGACACAUGGACCAGAGUCCACCGGAGACAUAUCAUGGGAGGACACACAGACUUUGAAGCCCAUCAUAGAUGAAGGUUCAACAGCUGGUGUAUCCCAGACCCACGGACCAGAGUUCACCAGAGGCAUAUCCCAGGAGGACACACAGACUUCGAAGCCCAUCAUAGAUGAGGAUUCAAUAGCUGGUGUAUCCCAAACCCAGGGACCAGAGUCUACCAGAGACAUAUCCCAGGAGGACACACAGAGUUUGAAGUCCGUCAUAGAUGAAGAUUCAACAGCUGGUGUAUCCCAGACCCAGGGACCAGAGUUCACCAGAGGCAUAUCCCAGGAGGACACACAGACUUUGAAGUCCGUCAUAGAUGAAGAUUCAACAGCUGGUGUAUCCCAGACCCAGGGACCAGAGUUCACCAGAGGCAUAUCCCAGGAGGACACACAGACUUUGAAGCCCAUCAUAGAUGAAGAUUCAACAGCUGGUGUGCCUCAGACCCAUGGACCAAAGUCCACCAGAGACAUAUUCCAGGAGGACACACAGACUUUGAGUAAGUGAAAGCCUUGCCUCAGAGGAGGCCUGGGCUGUCAUAGCUGUCUCCCAGCUCCUGCCUGCCUAAAUGAAAUCCUGUUCUCCUCCAGUGUACUGAAUUCCCACAAUGAAUAGCCACGCCUGUGU